rnacentral:tRNA from 1 species
GCGAGAGUGGUGGAACUGGCAGACACGCAGGAUUUAGGUUCCUGUGCCGAAAGGCGUGAGGGUUCGAUUCCCUUCUCUCGCA